GCACUGCUGUAGAGUUCCAAACAGGACGAAAUAGCUGUCCAGUGC
rnacentral:hammerhead_ribozyme from 1 species